GAGAAAAAAAAUUAUAUAUAAGUUGCAGUGUUUGCCUUUAAUAAUUUAAAAAAAAAGUUUAAUUUCAGUAUGCAUGUGAAAAAAAACAAAACAAAUGCUGACUCAAAAACAAAGACAAACAAAAAAAACUUCGGUUAAGUACAUUACACACUAACAUUGCAAUUUUUUACUAAAACUUAUUCCAUACAUUUAGAAGAUGUUUUGCUUGAACCACUGCAGAGAAAAUUAUUUAAUAAUCUACACAGUAAGAUUAGCACCACAACAGUAAUACAGAGGACUUUCUUACCAGAUAAUGUGUUCCUUUUGUUUGAACUUGUUACAACAAUAUGGGCAUUACUAGAGCGACUGUAUUACCGAACAUGGUCCGUUAGGUGCCACUUCUGGUUAAAGCUUCUUUUGGUAACAGCUUUGCUGAUGGGUUUGCUGUUGACGGAUGUAGUUUACUGGAAGUAAAAAAGUGGAAUGCUUGAGUUGUGUUUAAUGGUUUAGUGAAGAUUUCAGUUCUGUGCCUAGCGUUUUAGUUAGACUUCAUAAUUUAUAUCGUUUUUAGGAUACAUUUGUGAAUUAAAAAGCAAUUUCAAAAUUACAAAUUACAUUCAAUUGUCUAAAAUUAUUGCUACCACCAAACAAUAGUUACUUCAAAGAUAGACAACUAAAUGAUGAAGUAGAUCAUACGAAUUGAACAUUUCAACCCUAUAAGUUGAUUAUAAAAGCCAUACAUGAAAUUCAAAAACACUCUUCGAGUUGGUAAGCAAUAUUCUAGAAAAUAAUAUCCCAAGUGGUGGCCUAAAGUAAUGUGUUUGACGUGGUAUGGUCUGUAUCAGAAACCGAUUCCAAUACUAUAAAUUCAGGCGUAUUCAGAAUGAAGUCUUCCACACUGAUACUGGUCCCGUCAGUAUAUUUUUUAAUAAACAUUGGGAAAUAUAUCAUCUAUAGAUAGUCUUUGUGAAUCGGAAAAAUAACUAAAUUGAAUCUAUCAAAAAGAACUAUUGUUUCGAAUUAAAAAAAAUUGAAAUCUUAAAUGAUGAAAAUUGCUCUGAUGGCUCAAGAACGUUCGCAUAAGCACCUAUGCUUUUUAGAAACAAAUCAAAAUAGCAACUUACAUUCAUAAUAACUAUGGCCAACCCUGGCCGUAGUAUUCUGGUCGCAAACGGUUGAAUUAAGCCCAUUAACGGUCUAGUUGACUGGCCCAUUAGCAACAUCACGGAACGCUAAAAAUUAAAUGGAAUCCUUGUGUUAGGGUGAAACAUCGAACUUCGUUUGCUGGGAUCGAACACUUCCGGAACGUUUCGGCAGUCGAUCCGUUUCGGUGUUGCACAUGGGUCGGUAACAACAUCUUGAACUUUGGCUUCACUUCCGGAAGAUGUUACAGCGGUGACGUGUGUGGGAGGGAUGGGAAGUUCCUUGAGCGGACACGUGUGAUGCACACUACCGCUGCGGCCGGAUGACUUAGCGCAAAUUCUGUAACUCGGGAUGAUCGCUCAGCUUUUUUGAUAAAAAAAUUAUUACUGCUGAAAAGACACUGAACAUCACUGUUACCUAUAGGCGAUUCUAAAUAAAAACUGCCGGUACUGCUCGCAGCAGAUUCAAAGAGAUCCGUAAAAAAUAUUGAUCCUGAAAUAAGUAUUAGGUACAAAUAAAAAGGUUAGUCAGUUUGUAAAGAUAAUCAAAUGGUUCACUCACCAGAAACGGAAUCAAAUUAUCGCUCGCCUUCGAGAACACUUUCGAUCCACUACACCCAAAGGAAUUUUGAAAUUAAUUCUACGGGAUUUUUCACGUAGAUUAAGCUUUUGUGGCAUCUCGUCGAUUCUACGUGCGUCCUGUUGUUACUACUUUAAUUCCCCACAACUUUUUCAUGAAUUUCACGUAAAAAAGAUGGAUGACUUGAAAUCCAAUUUGAUAAUUUUUUACUGAGCGGGAAAGAAAUUUUCAUGGGUAAAUUCCUAUAAGAAAAAAGCCGUCAUUUUUUGAUAGUGUCUAUUUUGACUUGGCGAGAAAAUCAGAAGUGUAGCAUAAUAAUAUUAUCAAUUUUUCAGCAUAAUUAUGUGUAUUUCCCGUGUAUUUGAAUCACGAAUGCUAGUGAAAAUGCCUCCCAUUUUUUCAAACAGCCGUCCGUAAACAAAAAGAGUUGGUUCCGGAAUGCUGAAUCGCUACGGGGCGGAGAAGGUUCAAAACAACAAAAGGAAGCAUCCUAUUUAGAACGAUUAUCAGAUGAGGAUUUAUGUAUUUAACAUCAAGAAACGCGAUACAAUCAGCUGGAGAUUUACCGCAAGCAGAAAAGUGGAAGGAAAAUGGGUCAGCUCCGGUUUUAGCAAAAGAAUAAUGAGCUCUACCAACUAUCCGAACGCACCGCUCGGAAUCCGGAUGGCUAGUUACAGAACAGGAAAGGAUACGUUUCGAAUUAGGACUGUCUCAAAACUUCUGUUGAGAAGAUGUGAAUUCGCCCGACUGUUGCUCGAUUAUCAAGCCGUUGUUGCGCUCUGCUGCAACUACGUCAUGCAUUGCCAGGGAGCAAAGUUUUUCGUUCCUGCAAAGCCCAGCUGGAAUAGGAGGUGGCAAAUUCCUCUAGAUUGCAACUAUCGAACCAGCAACAAACUUGGUGGGAACAACAUAAGCAGCGACAACAAAUAUAUUAUACACCCUGCACCAUCGUUUCAACGACGACCAAGGAUUGGUGGCUAUGUCUAAGGAGGAAAACCGGAACAGCAAAAACAUGGUGGCCUUGGAACAAUAUUUACUCAUACAGUAAGUUUUUGUAAUUAGGCAUAAUGUUUUGUUAAGUAGUGAUUUAUUGUAUGUUAAUUUAGUCGGUUGUGUGCGUAAUAAACAAUUCAAAAUAAAUUUUAUUUCGAUUUUCAAUUAUUGAGAAAGGCCGUUUGAAUAACUGAAAUAAUAAUAAAUAAAAGAAACGAUAGAGCUGACUAUAAUGAAACCUCAAUGCUAAACCAAUUUCACGUAAUUUUCAUCGUC